AUAUUAAUUAAUUAAAUAAAUUUGGGCAUGAAAAUGUGUACGCUGAGUGGUGUCAGUCAUUUCUGUCAGCAUGUAGGGUAGGUGAUCUAUUCUGAAACCUACUGUGAAAUGAUCACACAAGUUAUAAAGUGGUGUUUUCCAACACUACUACUUGGCCAAAUGUCAAAAGAACAAUAUUUAUUCUAUAGCAGUGAAAGAUAAACAAAAGUUUUGCUUACUAAAAAAAUAAAUAAAAGAGCAAACAUUACAGCCAAGGGUGGCUGUCACAAAGCCAAUUCUUUUUGUGUAGCCAGUGUAGCAAAAAGAGUUGGGAAUUCGUAAUGUUUGGAUAAGAUGACCAACUAGGGUGACGAAAAAGCAACAGUUUGUCUGCGCUAGUUAGCUACCUGUCCAAAAUAGGUAGGAAAAAAUUAGGCUGUGAUACAAACAUAAGAUGUUUGGACAAUGAGGCCAUAAUUAACAGUUGAAAUCAUUGGGAAAUUUGUGAUAUGAUGAGGUGAAUUGGAUUGCUGAAUAAAUUGACUGCGUGGAGAAUUGCUUUGUAUGGAUUUCAGAAGGAAUGUUGUGGAGUUGCAAACGGAAAUUGAUGUGUGAAUACUUCUUUUUUAUACACUCCACCAUACUAUGGAGGGUAUAUUAACUUUGUCAUUCUGUUUGUAACUCCUCGAAAUACUCAUAUCAGAUCCAACAAAGUAUAUAUAUUCUUGAUCAGCGUAAAAUUCUAAGUCGAUUUAGCGAUGUCCGUCUGUCUGUCUGUCUGUUGUAAUCACGCUAUAUUUCGAAUGAAUUGAGAUAGGUGGCUAAAAUUGUGCACACAUGUUUAUUUUUCCAGUAGGCAGGUUAAGUUCGGGCCAAAUGGGCCAUGUAGGUCCACGUUUUCAUAUAGCCCCCAUAUAACGGUACCUCCCUAUAUUCGGUAUUUUGAUGAUUUUAGCGACAUUAUUCACGGGAAUUGUUUCAAAUUUGGUAUUUGAAAUUCAAAAUGGAUACUACACCCUAAGACAGAAAAUUGUCUGUGCAGGUCCACGUCUUCAUAUAGCCCCCAUAUAACGGUACCUCCCUAUAUUCGGUAUUUUGAUGAUUUUAGCGACAUUAUUCACCGGAAUUGUUUUAAAAUUGGUAUUUGAAGUUCGUUAUGGGAACUACAGUCUGUGACAGAAAAUUGUCUGUGCGGGUGCAGGUCUUCGGAUAGCCCCCAUAUAACGGUACCUCCCUAUAUUCGGUAUUUUGAUGAUUUUAGCUACAUUAUUCACCGUUUAUUUCAAGUUUCGAAUUUGAAUAUGGUAAUGGUCUAUGACAAACAAUGCCUAUGUAUGUCCACGUCGUAUAGACCCCAAAAUAACGGCUAUAUUCGGUAUUUUUAAAAUUUUAACAGAAUUUUUUAAA